UAUUCAAAUCCAAGCACUGAUUAAUUUGACCACAACCUCCCAAAAAACUCACUUCCUUCUUAACCUAUGACAGUGAGGUUGUCUGUGCAAGAAAAUAUACCAAACUUUACUUCUACUUUUCAGAAAAAAUAAUGCAUUAUGAUCCAGAAAAUACUGCUGAGACCUGAAGACUUUCCCAUACUCUGCAGUCAACAGAACCAACAGGUCUCUCUGCGAUUACUGUGUCACAAAGAGAGACUUAGCUGACUGUGCUCUGGGGGCCUUCUUUUCCCCAGACCUUCUGAAAACAGCAUUAAAACCAAUGACAUUGUAGCAAUGAACUGUUUGACAUUUGAUGCAAUUUCUUGACCACACAGCUCUAAAAUCUAGUAAUAGAAACUUUAAAAAUCUAAAUCUCUUGGAGGCUUUUUGCUGAAGUAGUUACUGGGCAUUCUGGAAUAGCUAUUCAGCAGGUGCAUACACCCAUAAAAGCUGAAGGAAAGUAAUUGGCUACAUGAGGAUACAUUUCCCACUCUGACUUCACAGCUCAGCAUUGCACCCAGGACUGCAUCAUUCUAAGCCUGGUGAAAACACUGAACAGAAAUGAUCUUUGUCCCAAAGAUGAGAAAGUAAUUUGAAAGUAAGAAGUAAUGUACAGAGACAGACAGACAGAAAAUAAAAAUCUGAGGAAACUAAGAA